GAUGAACGCUGGCGGCGUGCCUAACACAUGCAAGUCGAGCGAAGCGAUUUAACGGAAGUUUUCGGAUGGAAGUUAAAUUGACUGAGCGGGCGACGGGUGAAGGUAACGCGUAGGGUAACCGUGCCUCAUACAGGGGGAUAACAGUUAGAAAUGACUGCUAAUACCGCAUAAGCGCACAGCAUCGCAUGAUGCAGUGUGAAAACUCCGGUGGUAUGAGAUGGACCCGCGUCUGAUUAGCUAGUUGGUGAGGUAACGGCUCACCAAGGCGACGAUCAGUAGCCGACCUGAGAGGGUGAUCGGCCACAUUGGGACUGAGACACGGCCCAA
rnacentral:rRNA from 1 species